AGCACUCCCCUCGGCUGGCAAACGUCCGUCACGGACGCUCUCUCUUCCCUCGCGUUCCCAGUAAACCGAGGCAGAAAAGGUCCACACCGUCAGGGAUGCUACCUGCGUCCCGAAAAAUGAAGACUCGCCCGCUUCCGUCCUUACCAUGGCCCACACGUAAGCGAGGGAUGACGAAAAAAAUUGGCGCGGAAGGGAUGCGUCGGGCGCGUGAUCUAGAAUAAUUUCACCCACCAACCUUAUCUUAUCACCCGUACCCCUACCAGUCUUCUCCCCAUCCCCUAACUUCUUCUCUUCUCUCACAGAUGGCGGCGACCGGUAGAGAAUGGUCGGCGCAGGCGAGGACGCCGCCGCUGUGUGUCCCUGGGAUCCAGUGAGGCAAGGUCCCUUCUCUCUCUAUAUCUCUCACAGCUUUUCCCUGUUCUUCCCACUUGGGGUGGCAACGCAGCGGCGCAUGAGAUGCCGGUUAUGGAGGUCAACGACCCAACGCAGGCAAGGUCGCCACCACCGUCGCGUCCCCAAGAUUCAACGAGGUGAACCCCUCCUCCCAGCGCAGGGCCAUGGCGUGGCGGCGCUGCUCGAGCCUCUCCUCCCCCGCACAGAUCCAUGGCGUUGGCGGCACCACGCGAGGCCCUCCUCCUCGCUCAGGUCCCCCAUGGCGGCGCUGCUCGAGCCUCUCCUCCCCCGCACAGAUCCAUGGCCCCAGCCAUGGAGGAGAAAAUGUUUUUAGAUCUGAAUAAUUUAGAUUUUUAGGUAAUUUAUUUACCCUUCCAUGGUGGAGAAAUUGGUUUUAGAUUGUUUUAGACAAUUUAUUUACCCUUGUAACUUGAACAAAAUAAAGGCACUGAAUUUUAUUGGGCACCUGCACUGAGCCAUUCCUUAUUAGGUUAAUAUAUUUUAUUAAGAUUUGUAUGCAUUUUUUGUCAAUUUACAUUGGGCAAGUACUCCUGCAUAGAAAUCUGAGCACUUUUGUUUUCUAAAAAAUAAAAUAUGUCUGUGCACUAUUCUUCUGAAAGACAAUUCUUCUUGGAUGAAGUAGCAUUGCAGAAAUCUCAUAUGUGAUUCAGCUAGAUAUUAUGCACUACAUGUCAGCUAUGAAUAGGCUUUAGCGUUUUGUAGGAUUGUGCUUCUUUCUAAUGAAGAAGAAAGUGACAUAGAAAUGUUACCGUCCGCCAGCGCUCAAGCUAUUGAUGGUAAGAUGACGCAUGCUCAAGCACUUUUUGUGGCAGGUAGGCUAAUAUAAUUUGGUUGUUGUUGCCAAUUUUUGCAUGUAGAUAUAAGGGAAUCCUUUUCUUAAAGGAUCAAACUGCUUCUGCAGGACAAGACACUUCUCAGCUAGAUUAGGAUGUGAGAAAAGGGAAGCAGUGUGAUCAGAUUGCUAAAACAAUGAAUUUGGAGAUAAUCGUAGUGUUCAUUUAUUCUGUACAGCAUAAAUGAACCCUAAUAUAGUAUCAGGUUGCUUUGUUCUUUGACUGAUGGUUUAUUUGUGAACGGAAGUAAAUAAUCCGAUUUGCUUUAGUUACUAUCUCUUUCAAUUUAGAGACGUUGGACAAGCAAUCAGCUAUAUUGUUUGACUAGAUAUUUAACAAGAUUUCUCAUGAAUUGUUAUAUUUUCUUUUCUUGUUUUGGCUGUAGGUUGUGGAGAUGAAUGGAUCAGCUAUAUGCACUGUAUUGCUAAGGGCUUGUAGGAAGUAGUGAUUACUAAACUUCUAUCUAUUUUCUAUAUGUUAGUUGCAUGAACUAGCAUUGUAACUUGGGUCUGCAAUAUUUUGCGAGGCCUUUACAGUGUAGCUUAAGAUUUGUUGACCAUUGAACUAUCUAAUGUAUGAGCAAUUUGGAUGAUGAUUAUAUGUACGACACUUGUGUGUAACAUUUAAUACUGCUGGUGUGUGGUUAAAAGGAUCGGCUAUGAUUUGAAUGGUUU